UACGGAGACUGCAAGCGUUAUUCGGAUUCACUGGGCGUAAAGGGUGCGCAGGCGGCCAAGUGUGUGAGGCGUGAAAGCCUGGGGCUUAACUCCAGAAUUGCACCUCAAACUACAUGGCUAGAGCAUUGGAGAGGGUAGCAGAAUUCACGGUGUAGCAGUGAAAUGCGUAGAUAUCGUGAGGAAUACCAGAGGCGAAGGCGGCUACCUGGACAAUUGCUGACGCUCAGGCACGAAAGCGUGGGGAGCAAAAGGG
rnacentral:rRNA from 1 species